rnacentral:rRNA from 1 species
UACGUAGGGGGCAAGCGUUGUCCGGAAUCAUUGGGCGUAAAGCGCGUGUAGGCGGCUCGAUAAGUCUGCUGUAAAAGCCCAGGGCUCAACCCUGGAAAGCCGGUGGAAACUGUCGAGCUAGAGUCCGGAAGAGGCGAGUGGAAUUCCUGGUGUAGCGGUGAAAUGCGCAGAUAUCAGGAGGAACACCAAUGGCGAAGGCGAGUCCCUGGACAGGUCCUGACGCUGAGGCACGAAAGCUAGGGGAGCAAACAGG